UACGAAGGGGGCUAGCGUUGUUCGGAAUUACUGGGCGUAAAGCGCGCGCAGGCGGUCUUCCAAGUCAGUGGUGAAAGCCGGAGCUCAACUCCGGAAUUGCCAUUGAAACUGUGAGACUGGAGUACGAGAGAGGUGAGUGGAAUUCCCAGUGUAGAGGUGAAAUUCGUAGAUAUUGGGAAGAACACCGGUGGCGAAGGCGGCUCACUGGCUCGUAACUGACGCUCAGGCGCGACAGCGUGGGGAUCAAACAGG
rnacentral:rRNA from 1 species